rnacentral:lncRNA from 12 species
CUGAGCUCUCGGAAUGGCUUCUAGAUGAGUCAACAGGAGAGCCUCUCCCUGAGUGUUCCUCCAGACAGUACUCUCUCCAAUCUCCCUUCCUGUCUGGACGGGCGCAUGAAAUGAGCAAAAUGCAGAGAGAUUUUUAAGUAGCUGAUUGGAUUGUUUAAUUCUAAUUGUACCAAGUGGUGAAAAGCAAAACAGACUGAACAGACACAGGGUAAGCUUCUCUUCUUGCCUGUUGUCAAUAUGACAACAUUUAGAACGGGAUAAUUGAAAGAUGGAUGGAUGGAUGGAUGGAUGGAUGGCUGGGGGAUGGUUGGAUGGGUGGAUGGAGUGUAAAUGAUAGAUUUAAUAUGUAGUUUUUAUCUUAUGUUUCACUUAGUCACUAUAAACAAUGAACAAAAGCCUGUGCCACGAAAGAGUUGGGCAGAGUUCAGGUUUUAAAGGAAUGUUCUCCUGGGACUGAGUGCUAGCUGGAGUCCCUCAAACUCCCACCAAAUCCUCGUGGGAACUACCUCACAUCUACCACCAUGAUGCUUUCCAGAAGCAGUGCUUAAAUCCACAAAGCUGAUUAGACAAGAAAGGGCCACUUUUUCUUCGAGGUUCCUCUGCUGGUUAGAAACAGAGGAGACUUCCAAAGGCCAGGAAGGAAGGCUGAGCAGAGAGCCCAGCAUUUUUUUCUAAGACAAAGAUGUAAUGCCAGGCAUAGCAAACCCAAUAAUGAAAACAAAUGUGCAUAUGAACCUUCGCGAAGUAAAACAUACGCUCUCCAGGUACUACUUUGGUUGGAUUUUGCUAUUUCAUUAAGUGUGCUACUUUCCACAUGAAGGUGAUACUGUGAUAAUCCCCUUUCCAUCACAUCUUGGAGGUGUUCCGAUCCACAGGAAUUCUGAAGAUGGGGAUGUACCAGGAGCUGUGAGCGAAGACCGGCCGCUGUUGCUGAAUUCAGAACCUGAGCAAACACAGCGGCUCCAGCCGAGCCUGCUGAGGCUCCUCCGACAAGUUCACCUUCAGCGUGGGGAGAAACCUAAGCUCGUUCACGAAGCCAUCAGGCAGGAAGGACUCGGUGGACCCCUGCCUGAGCACUAGCAGUGCCCGUCACACCUGUGUACUCCCAGCCAACGUGGUCCGUCCAGU